rnacentral:rRNA from 1 species
GACGAACGCUGGCGGCGUGCUUAACACAUGCAAGUCGAACGGAAAGGCCCUGCUUGCAGGGUACUCGAGUGGCGAACGGGUGAGUAACACGUGGGUGAUCUGCCCUGCACUUCGGGAUAAGCCUGGGAAACUGGGUCUAAUACCGGAUAGGAGCCAUUUUUAGUGUGAUGGUUGGAAAGUUUUUUCGGUGUAGGAUGAGCUCGCGGCCUAUCAGCUUGUUGGUGGGGUAAUGGCCUACCAAGGCGGCGACGGGUAGCCGGCCUGAGAGGGUGGACGGCCACCUUGGGACUGAGAUACGGCCCAGACUCCUACGGGAGGCAGCAGUGGGGAAUAUUGCACCAUGGGCGCAAGCCUGAUGCAGCGACGCCGCGUGGGGGAUGACGGCCUUCGGGUUGUAAACUCCUUUCGCUAGGGACGAAGCUUUUUGUGACGGUACCUAGAUAAGAAGCACCGGCUAACUACGUG